rnacentral:lncRNA from 1 species
AGAGACCUCGAAGACUUUCGGGACAUCAUGAACUCGCUUUGCGUCCUGGUUCUCGCAAUGGUCCUGGUUUCUUGGACAACGGUCGACGCUGAAGAAUUUGAUCCUAAGAAUAAAGACCACAUCAAUUUUCUCAGAAAAUGUCUACCAUCAUGUGACGACUACGCAAGAAGUGUCUGCGGGAAGGACAAAUGCAUCUGCGAACCGAGAGGCGAUGAAGUAUAUAGCCAUAUGUGCAUAAAACCAGAACAUUACAUCAAUUAUAUGAAAAAGCAAUAGAAUGCUGAUUUAUCCAGAAGCGUGGCACACAGUAGGCAGAAGAGGAAAGUUGAGUUGGCAAAUAAAAGUUGUGUU